rnacentral:rRNA from 1 species
UGGCUCAGAUUGAACGCUGGCGGCAGGCCUAACACAUGCAAGUCGAGCGGAUGAGAAGAGCUUGCUCUUCGAGUUAGCGGCGGACGGGUGAGUAAUGCCUAGGAAUCUGCCUGGUAGUGGGGGACAACGUUUCGAAAGGAACGCUAAUACCGCAUACGUCCUACGGGAGAAAGCAGGGGACCUUCGGGCCUUGCGCUAUCAGAUGAGCCUAGGUCGGAUUAGCUAGUUGGUGAGGUAAUGGCUCACCAAGGCGACGAUCCGUAACUGGUCUGAGAGGAUGAUCAGUCACACUGGAACUGAGACACGGUCCAGACUCCUACGGGAGGCAGCAGUGGGGAAUAUUGGACAAUGGGCGAAAGCCUGAUCCAGCCAUGCCGCGUGUGUGAAGAAGGUCUUCGGAUUGUAAAGCACUUUAAGUUGGGAGGAAGGGCAGUAAGCGAAUACCUUGCUGUUUUGACGUUACCGACAGAAUAAGCACCGGCUAACUCUGUGCCAGCAGCCGCGGUAAUACAGAGGGUGCAAGCGUUAAUCGGAAUUACUGGGCGUAAAGCGCGCGUAGGUGGUUCGUUAAGUUGAAUGUGAAAGCCCCGGGCUCAACCUGGGAACUGCAUCCAAAACUGGCGAGCUAGAGUAGGGCAGAGGGUGGUGGAAUUUCCUGUGUAGCGGUGAAAUGCGUAGAUAUAGGAAGGAACACCAGUGGCGAAGGCGACCACCUGGGCUCAUACUGACACUGA